AGAGUUUGAUCCUGGCUCAGGAUGAACGCUAGCGGCAGGCCUAACACAUGCAAGUCGAGGGAGAAGCCCUUCGGGGCAGAAACCGGCGCACGGGUGCGUAACGCGUAUGCAACCUACCUUUCACAGGGGGAUAGCCCGAAGAAAUUUGGAUUAAUACCCCAUAAUAUUAUUGGAUGGCAUCAUUUGAUAAUUAAAACUGAGGUGGUGAAAGAUGGGCAUGCGUCCUAUUAGCUAGUUGGAGUGGUAACGGCACCCCAAGGCUACGAUAGGUAGGGGUCCUGAGAGGGAGAUCCCCCACACUGGUACUGAGACAGGGACCAGACUCCUACGGGAGGCAGCAGUGAGGAAUAUUGGUCAAUGGUCGGAAGACUGAACCAGCCAUGCCGCGUGCAGGAAGAAUGCCUUAUGGGUUGUAAACUGCUUUUAUAUGGGAAGAAUAAGGAGUACGUGUACUUUGAUGACGGUACCAUAUGAAUAAGCAUCGGCUAACUCCGUGCCAGCAGCCGCGGUAAUACGGAGGAUGCGAGCGUUAUUCGGAAUCAUUGGGUUUAAAGGGUCUGUAGGCGGGCUAUUAAGUCAGGGGUGAAAGGUUUCAGCUUAACUGAGAAAUUGCCUUUGAUACUGGUAGUCUUGAAUAUCUGUGAAGUUCUUGGAAUGUGUAGUGUAGCGGUGAAAUGCUUAGAUAUUACACAGAACACCGAUUGCGGAGGCAGGGGACUAACAGACGAUUGACGCUGAGAGACGAAAGCGUGGGGAGCGAACAGGAUUAGAUACCCUGGUAGUCCACGCUGUAAACGAUGGAUACUAGCUGUUUGGAGUAAUUUGAGUGGCUAAGCGAAAGUGAUAAGUAUCCCACCUGGGGAGUACGCACGCAAGUGUGAAACUCAAAGGAAUUGACGGGGGCCCGCACAAGCGGUGGAGC
rnacentral:rRNA from 1 species